rnacentral:rRNA from 1 species
GAUGAACGCUGGCGGCGUGCCUAAUACAUGCAAGUCGAGCGAACAGAUAAGGAGCUUGCUCCUUUGACGUUAGCGGCGGACGGGUGAGUAACACGUGGAUAACCUACCUAUAAGACUGGGAUAACUUCGGGAAACCGGAGCUAAUACCGGAUAACAUAUUGAACCGCAUGGUUCAAUAGUGAAAGGCGGCUUUGCUGUCACUUAUAGAUGGAUCCGCGCCGUAUUAGCUAGUUGGUAAGGUAACGGCUUACCAAGGCAACGAUACGUAGCCGACCUGAGAGGGUGAUCGGCCACACUGGAACUGAGACACGGUCCAGACUCCUACGGGAGGCAGCAGUAGGGAAUCUUCCGCAAUGGGCGAAAGCCUGACGGAGCAACGCCGCGUGAGUGAUGAAGGUCUUCGGAUCGUAAAACUCUGUUAUCAGGGAAGAACAAAUGUGUAAGUAACUGUGCACAUCUUGACGGAACCUGAUCAGAAAGCCACGGCUAACUACGUG